rnacentral:rRNA from 1 species
UACGUAGGGUGCGAGCGUUAAUCGGAAUUACUGGGCGUAAAGCGUGCGCAGGCGGUUUUGUAAGCCAGAUGUGAAAUUCCCGGGCUUAACCUGGGAAUGGCAUUUGGGACUGCAAGGCUGGAGUGCGGCAGAGGAGACUGGAAUUCCUGGUGUAGCAGUGAAAUGCGUAGAUAUCAGGAGGAACAUCAGCGGCGAGGGCGGCUACCUGGCCCAGUACUGACACUGAGAUGCGAAAGCAUGGGGAUCAAACAGG